UGGCAUAUGGAGGUUCCGAGGCUAGGGGUCUAAUUGGAGCUGUUGCCGUCAGCCUAUGCCGCAGCCACAGCAACUCUGGAUCCUCAAUCCUAGCUGCACCUGAAACCUACACCACAGCUCAGGGCAACGCCGGAUCCUCAACCCACUGAGCGAGGCCAGGGAUCGAACCCACAACCCCAUGGUUUCUAGUGGGAUUCACCUCCGCUGUGCCACGAUGGGAACUCCUGCUUUGGAAAUCUUUAUAAUUCUUCACUGUAUACAGUAUAAGGUCCACCCAAUUUGGCAUAGCAUUUUCAGGCCAACACAAUCUGGGCCCAAAUUAAUCGUCCAGAUAUACUUUCCAUCCUUCCCUCCAUGCACCUUAUACCCCAGCCAGCUCCACGUAAGCUCCGGUUCUCCAGCACACGAAUAUAUAAUGCAAUGUGAAAUCUAUAUUUUAAUCCUAAAUGCAUUGUUUUAAGGUAUUUAAAAGUAUCCUAAGGGCAAGGAUUAUGUAUUGGUCACCUUUGCAGCCCCAGUGCUGGAUAUAAGUAGAUCUCAAUAAACAUUACAUAAACUCAUAAAUGAAUGAUAACCAGGGUUUGAAUUCCAUUUCUGCCAUUCCUUAUCUAUGUGACUUUCAACCACUUAUCUAAGCUUUCAGAGCCUUAGUUUCUUCGUCUGUAAACUGGGCAUAGUAAUAACUGCCACCCAGCCCUAUCGAUUUUUAAGGGAGUUCUCUUUUAAGUGUUCUUUUUAGGUAUUUUUAUCUCUAGAUUCUCAGGGCCCUACCCUGGCUUUGGCAGACAGCAGCAGAAGCAAUAAAGGGAAUGCUGUGGGGUCAAACCUUGAGCAGCAGCUGCAGUGGGCCUGCCUCACAGCUGCUGCCCAGGCUCUUGGGAACUUUGCAUUGUUAACCCUUUGAGUCUAGUUUUGAGCACGCCAUGGCUUAUUCAACCUCUAACUUUUUGUUCUUGGUUUGUGGGUAACCAACACACAUUAUUCAUCUACCCAUUUGCUUCAUCUUUUCUGGGCAGCCCUUCUCAAGCAGAUCAUGAUUAAAUAUAACACAUUUACCAAUAUCUCAGAUGAAAUGGCUUCUGAAGAUUUCCCCAUCUUGGUGGCUCUCUUGUAGAUACGUUUCUCUUUUUCAGUUAACACAAUGCUCCAUGUAUGGCUUGACUUGUGUAAGGAAUUGUUAGACUCAAACCUCUGUUCUCUGAAAUAUUCAUAUUCUAUUAUUGAUAACUCAACUUAUAUGAUUUUAUUUAGCAACUGUGUCACAUCCUUGCCUCACAUCAGCCUGCGAUCAAGUGUAAAAGCCCAGGGCAUUUUUAUAUCAAUUACUGCCAUAACAAAUCAUCCUGUAUAUGUAUAGUUGAUGUUCUGAAUCUUGAAGAACUAUGAAAUUAUUCAUUUCUAUUUACCAUUCCGUUAUUUUGAUAAUUGUUACAAUCUUGAUUCUAUUAUCCACAUUUUCAGCUCCCCCACCAUGUAUUCCUCUCCUCUUAUACCAAGCUUUGAGUCAUCUGCUUAUUUGAUCACUUGUCUAUGCCUUCAUCCACAUAAUCUGUAUUUUUUUCCAAUUUUUUACCAUGGGAAAAUACAGAUAACUUAAAAUUUACCAUUUUAACCAUUUCAAUGUAUACAAUUCAGUGGCAUUGCUAACAUUUUGCCACAUUUGCUUAUUCUCUCUCUAUAUAUAUACAUAUAUUCUUUCUCCAUCUAUUCUCUAUAUAUAUCAGAUAUAUAUCCAGAUAUCUAGAUAUAUCUAUAUGUAUUCUAUCUCUCUAUAUAUCCUCUCUCUUGUGCUCUCUCUCUCUCUGUAUAUGUAUCUCCUAAAAUUCAUACGUUGAUAUCCCAACCCCCAAUGUGAUGGUAUUAGAAGGUGGAGCCUUUAGGAUGUGAUUAGGUCAUGAUGAUGGAGUUCUUGUGGAUGAGAAUAGGACCUUAUGAGAAGAGACAGGAAAGCUUGUUCUCUUUCCGUCUGCUCUCCAUCAUGUGAGUAUACAAUGGGAAGGUGGCCAUCUACAAACCAGAAAACAAGGCUCUCACUGGAACCUGAACAUACUAGCUCAUCUUGAACGUCCCAACCUAUUAAUUGUGAGUGAUAAAUUUCUGUUGUUUAAACCACCCAGUUUAUGGUAUCUAGUGAUAGCAUCCUGAACUAAGACAGAAACAUAUGUGUAUAUUUGCAUGUAUGUAUGUAUAUAUAUAUAUUGAGUACUUAUUGCAGUUAGAUGUCCAACACUGAAAAAUCAGGAAACAUGGUCCCAGUUUUUAUGCAGCUAAUAAUUUGCUUAGGAAAGGUGACAGUUUAUCUUUAUUAAAACAUAUCACUAUAUUUCUAAGUUUUAUUUCACCCAUAUUAUAGCAAUAGCUCUGCUCCUCAAUGGUCUGCUCACUUCUGGCCUUGGCCUUCCUGGGUCCUCAAUGUAUCCUCCAAAUCAUCAUCAAAAUCAUCUCUGAGAAACUCUACACUCACUCUGUCAACUCUGGAGGCAACUUAAAAACACCAAAGCACAAUAAAAAUGUCGAAAUCUGAGUUUCAAAGUAGAUCAGUUAAGUAAGGGUUCAAUGGGUAGGGCUUGGAUAUCGAUAUUUUUGAAGAUCCCCACAUGAUUAUUCUGAUGCAUAGUGGGGGUUGACAACCACUACCGUAGACUGAUUAGGCAUCUCUUAUAUUUGAAACUACACUCUGUGCUCACCUCUACUCAAACCCCUUUGCAUGGCUGUAGGGACUUCCAUGAUCUGGCCUAGGAUUCAUCUCCUAACACUCUUUAUAACACAGUCAUUUAUUCUCUAAAUAAGCAGUGCUGCUUCAUAAGUUUAUAUCUUUUCAUGCGCUGUAUCCUCUGCACGAAAUAUCUUUCCCUUUUUUUACCUGUCUAUCAAAAUAUUAUUCAUCCUUAAAAACUUAAAGACAAAUCCUCCAGGAAGUUUUUCCUGAAACUGCCAUCUUGGUAGCUGGCAAAAAGUUUUACUGUUACUUAUCACAAAAAAUGAAUUGUAAGCAUUUGUUUACAAAUGUCUCCCCUAUUCAACUGUGAAAUCAUUGAGGGCUGGGAAUGUGCCUCAUUUACUUCUAUAGCCCCAAAAUUUAGACACUAGAUCUGAGACAGAGUAGGUGCCCAGUACAUAUUUGUGGACUGAGUUGAUGAAUGAAUAAUGAAUUUUUAAAAAUCUUUCAACAUCUCUAAGAUGGAAAAAUAAAGAAGAAAGAAUGAGGCAGGUUCAAAAGAAGGGGUUUGUCAGCUGAAAAUACUCAGUGAGAGGAUCUCUGUCUUUGGGAAGAAGGGAUUUUGUCUGGAGAAAACUAGGCUGUGCUAGGAAGGAUAACUAAUUCCAUAUAGACAGAAAGCCAAGAACAGGCUGUGGCCAAAGUGUUGAUGGAUGACAGCUGGAAAUAUGGCUUGUGAACCAACUAAAAAUGACACAUCAAUCUGAACUGCAAAAUAAAUCACUGAGACUCCAAAGGCUUUUUAUUCACCUUAAAAUCGCACUCUACAUGAACAUUUAAUAAGAACACUUCAAAUUGUUGUAGCACUUGACUACUUUACACAUUCACAUACAUAAUCUCAUUUAAACUUCCCAACAACUCUGUAAGGACAUCAUUAUCAACCCUGUUUCAGGACAGAAAAUCUGAGGCUCUAAAAAAUUAAAUAACUAGCCCAAGAUCACACAGAUGAUGAGUAGUGGAUUCAGAAAACAAAUAGGCCUUGAGAUAAUAAAGGGAGAUUAAAUAGGGAAAACCUAUAUAUAUAUUUUCCAUUUAUAUGUAUGGAAAGUAAAGAAAGCCAAAAUAUUUAUUUAAAAUUUGUUCUGCAGUCUGCAUCAAGUUUCUUGAUCUUUUCUCAGUGGUACUAAAGGAAUUGAGUCAGAGGUCAGAGAAGGAGUCAGGCCCAGGCUAAGAUCAAUUGACCAUCUAUGAUGUACUAGGCAUGGUGCAAGUCACUUUACAUUUAAUGCCAAUGAUACCACUAUAAUCUAUUAGCCACAGAUUAAAAAUAGAGACAUUGAGAGACAGAAAAAUUAAUUUGCCUCAAGUUCUAUAAACAUUUUGAACCCUGUUCUGUUUGACCCACCAUGUAGUUAGUUCUUACAUGUUGCUUGCACUUAAGAAAAAUGUUUUAUGAACGAAUUAUUUGGAAUAUCAUUAUCUUUUUAUGAAAGUAAGAUACAAAGUCAGAGAAAUAAAAGAACAGUGUUCUGAGUAGGGUUAAAAUAAUCAUAAGAAUCAACCUGGAAGAAAAGUAGGACUUGAAUCUGGAGGGAUGGGUAAAGAUUGUAGCACCAGCUAGGCAAGGUAGGGCAUUCCAGGAAGGGAUAACAACAUGGAUAAAGGUUCUGAGGAGAGUGGCAUCUGCUGGGGAGUCAAUAAAGAACCCAAGAAUGGUGGGUGUAAUAGAUUGCUACCAUCCAAGAAAUACAGUAUGUCCUAAACUUAAUAGUUUGAGGAAUACAUUCUGCCCCCUGAAAUUUUGGGAUUUGGGAGAAGCUACAUUCCUUGAUACUAACAACCGAGGGCCUUUCUGGUACAAGGAAAUUGAAUUGUUGAUUGCUGGACUGUGUUAUGAAAGGGAGCAAGCCACUGAUUAUCAUCAGCUUCCUGCAGGGACCUACUGGCACAACAGUGAUAACUGGCAAAUAGACCCUGAGAUAAGAACAAGAGAAGAAAUGAGAGAUGACAUAAGUAACUUUUAAAAAGACCCCAAAUAUGUAUCUUUUAUAGAUUAGAUUUUUUAUUGAAAAAGUAAUACGUGCACUUCAUACUAAAGUUUCAAGAAUACAAAAGGGUAUAACAAUGAAAGCCAGUCUAUUUCUACACAUACAAACCUAUGUAUGUAUAUGUAGCUUUUUAAAAUCAAGAACAGGAGAACACCAUAUACUCUAUUGUGGUCCUUUUUCUCUACUCUCAAUAAAUUAAACUUUUAAAAUCAUUAUAUUUUUAGUCAACUAAAUGUCAUUUCAAUAUAUGAGUAGACACAAAUUUAUUUAUCUGAUCCUCUUAUAGUGGGCAUUUAGUUUGGUCCAAUUUUUCACAAAUAACCCUGCAAUAAACUUUUACAUGUAUAUCUUUGCAUACUUGUACAAGUGUUUUCAUAAAAUAAAUUUCUAAAAAUGAUAGUAUGAGAAAAAGAAUGUAUAUAUAUAUAUAUAUAUGUAUGACUAGGUCACUAUGCUGUACAGCAGAAACUGACAUAACACUGUAAAUCAACUAUACUAUACUCUAAUAAAAAUUUUUUUGAAAUUUCUAAAAUGAGGAGUUCCCAUCGUGGCUCAGUGGUUAACGAAUCCGACUAGGAACCAUCAGGUUGCGGGUUUGAUCCCUGGCCUUGCUCAGUGGGUUAAGGAUCUGGCGUUGCCGUGAGCUGUGGUGUAGGUCGCAGAUGCGGCUCGGAUCCUGUGUUGCUGUGGCUGUGGCGUAGGCCGGCGGCUACAGCUCCGAUUGGACCCCUAGCCUGGGAACCUCCAUAUGCCGCGGGAGUGGCCCAAGAAAUGGCAAAAAGACAAAAAAAAAACCACAAAGACAAAAAACAAACAAAAAAACCCCAAAUUUCUAAAAUGAGAAUUUUUGAGUCAAGGAUAAAUACAUUUUCAUAUUCAUAAAUAUUGCAAAAUUAUGCUUUCCAAAGAGGUUGCAGCAAUUUAUAAUCUCAUCUACAAGGUAUGAAACGUUCAUUUCUCCAACCAUACCAACACUAGGCAUUAGUUAGGUUUUGAACCUUUUAUCUGAUGGAGGGAAAUGUUUCACUAUUGUUUUCAUUUAUGUCAUUUAUGUUGCUUUAAUUAUUAAUAAGGUUACACAUAUUUUCUGUGUUUAUUAGCCAUGUGUAGUUGUUUUUCAGUGAACUAUUUACUUAUGCCUUUACUCAUUUUUCUAUUCAUGCUUUUGCUCUUUUCUUAUUGAUUUGUAAGAGAUCUUUACAUAUUAAAUAACAGUUCACUGUGAGUCAGAUGUUUUGAAGAAGAUUUUUUUGAAAAUUGUUUCUUGGAGAGUUCCCAUUGUGGCUCAGCUGUAACGAACCCAACUAGUACCCAUGAGGAUGUGGGUUUGGUCCCUGGCCUCACUCAGUGGGUUAAGGAUGUGGCGUUCCACGAGCUGUGGUGUAGGUCACAGAUGCAGCUUGGAUCUGGCAUUGCUGCAGCUGAGCAGCUCCUAUUCGACCCCUAGCCUGGGAAUUUCCAUAUGCUGUGGGUGUGACUCUAAAAAGCAAAAGAAGAAAAGAAAAAAAAUUUUUAACUUUAUUUAUUGUAUUCUCAUGCAAGAAAGACAUUUUUAAAUGCUAUAUGUAGUUAGAUUUAUCAAAAUUUUUGUUUUCUGGGCUUCGCAUCUUUCUUAGAAAGGUCUUUCCACUUUAAGAUUACAUAUAAAUUUUCCUUUUUUUCCCUGAUACUUUUACAAUUGCCUCUUUGAUAAUCUCAAAGCUUAUUUUGGGUUAAGAAGUUGGGCAAUCUCUAUUCUAUGGCAUUAAUUUAUCGAGAGUAGUGUUGCCAGAUUUAGCAAAUAAAAAUACAGGAUAUCCUGUUAAAUUUGAAUUUCAGAUAAACAAUGAAAUUUUUAGUACAAGCAUAUCUUAAUUAUUGCAUAGGAUAUAUCUAAUGAUUAUUUUUGAUUUAUCUGAAAUUUAAAAUGACUGGGCAUCUUCUAUUUUAUAGGCAACCCUAACUAAGAUCAAAAUGAGAAGUAGCCUAAAAGUAUAAAAGAAAGUUGUGUAAAUUGAUGAGUUAACACUUUCUGAUCAGUGGGAAGCCCUUAAUACAGGCACUUAGACAUUGGUUUGAGCAGAGCAAUUACAAUUCUGAGGUGUGAAUUAAAUGAGCUUGUUUUUUUAAGUGGAAUUCUUUAUGAUUGAUUAAGUCUUUUAUUUUUUAAGUGGCUAAGAGAAUUGGAUCUGAAGUUUGGAAUGUCUUUAAUUCAUGAAUAUUUGCUUACUUUGUUCUUUACUAAAAAUUAACUUUACUUUUGGAACAAGCUCCUGUACUUGCUCCUAUGGGAUAUUAAGAAAAGGAUUGACUCUGGAGUUAGAAGACCUAGAUUAAAGUU
rnacentral:lncRNA from 1 species